rnacentral:rRNA from 1 species
UACGGAGGAUGCGAGCGUUAUCCGGAUUUAUUGGGUUUAAAGGGAGCGCAGACGGGAGAUUAAGUCAGUUGUGAAAGUUUGCGGCUCAACCGUAAAAUUGCAGUUGAUACUGGUUUCCUUGAGUGCAGUUGAGGCAGGCGGAAUUCGUGGUGUAGCGGUGAAAUGCUUAGAUAUCACGAAGAACCCCGAUUGCGAAGGCAGCUUGCUAGACUGUAACUGACGUUCAUGCUCGAAAGUGUGGGUAUCAAACAGG